CUCUGCUGUACAAUUUCACAUGAGAAUCGAACUCCUUUCCACAAAUUGAACUUUUAAAAAACAUGUAUGUAAUCAUGUCAUUUGUGAGUUUUAAUUUUUCAAGUUUCACUUUCAUUCAGCAACUGCUUCUGUUUUUUUCUGGACAGCAUAAACAUAAUUCACAGAUUUCACGAUCAGAAUCAUGAAUAUUUUUUUAAUACAAGACAACACUCUAAGUGGUUCUGUCACUGUGUUUAAUCCUUUCUGUGCAAGACUGUAUGGUAUAGUUAAUGCCACACACACUGUAGGCCUAAUGUGUUUUAUUUUGGUAGUUCAUUUUGAAAUAAAAAUAGCAAAAUAUUAAUUAAGAGUAACAUUUUUUUUUGCUGGGGGAAACAGCUGUGCUGAUGAGGUGAGCACAGAGCAAACAGUAAAUAGGGAAAACCAGAUUGCUCCUGAAAUUGGGGUACAAGUGACACAAGUGUUUCUGUAGCAAAAAACUGCAAAUAAUCAGAUUUUAUAACAAUUUAUUGAUAAGCAUACAACUUGUUCUCACGCUUUGCACGGCUGUGGUUUGCUGAUUAAAUGAAAGAUAAAAAAGACUUGUCUUUUUUUCUCAAUUAAUAAUAGUUUCCAACAAAGCCAUAUAACAUUUACACUAAUACAUUUACUACAGAAACACCCUGAGACCUGAGAUUAUGAUCAAACUGAUUGUUUUUCUAUUUUUUUAAUCAAACUUACAAACUUCAGACUCUCUGAUCUCUGCUGGUGCGGGUGCUGCUGCUGGAUCUCUGUUGAUUGUAGCUGCAGUUGGGAUGAUUUGGUUCUACAGGAAAAACAAAAGAACCAACCAAUCAGUCCAGACCCAUAAUGAGGAGGUAACUUAUGCUGAUCCAACGUUCUACAAGCGAAGUAAAUCAAAAGGGAGUGUAAAACAGGAGGACGAGGUGGUGUAUGCAGGAGUCGUCACAAGACGUUAAUCAUAUUCUCCAGGAUGAGUUUCCUCAUCAUGGCACAUGCCCUCUCCGCUUUUACUUUAUUUUAGUUUUAGUCAGUGUCUUUCACAGCUGAAGCCUGUUAAAUGUUGAGUUUAACAAUUUUUCAAUCCAUUUUUCCACUUUUUUCUUAGCUAAGCAUAAGUCACUAAAUUGGAUUAGACGACUAAAAAUGUCUGUGUAUUCUUGUGCAAGUAGAAACAGUUAAGGAUCUGCAACAAAGUAAUUAUGAUCUGAAUCAUCUUUCACAAAUGUCUCAAUGUUUGCAAGGCAGGUUCUCUGUGCAAGCAGUUGGUCACGCUGAGCAUAUUGAUGGGAAUUAGCUAGUAAUUUACAAUAUCAGUGCAGCUGCUGCAGUUAUAUAUGUCAGCAAAGUUCCUUGAGCAUUUUGUAGAUGCUUUAUUUUAAAUAGGCUUAUCUUCUACUAAAAAUGCUUUUAUUUAAAACACAAAUGACAAAAUGCUUAUAUAUAUAAAGCAUCUUGUCAUUUGUGUUUUUAAUAAAAGCAUUUUUUAGUAGAAGAUAAGCCUAUUUCCUGAGCUCAGCUAGUGGUUGAUCAUUAAAGCAGCUCAAACGAAAAAAAAAAAUGCUGUAUACUAAUAAUAUAAUAUUUUUAACCAUAUAAUAAAGUUUUGAAUGACUCAGUUGCAGUAAUUCUAAUUGCAUGAGUGUAGUAGGCCUAUUCGCGUGAAUAGAUUAGAAUUAUCUAUUAAUCUACUUCAGCUAUUGAGAAUAUACAGUACACCACUUUUUACUGUAGUAAAACUCGAAUAUACUACUAGUAUAUUUUCAGUAAAGUUAAUACAACUGUAUGCUGUAACUUUCAUUAACAGUCGUAAAUAGUAUAAUAUAUACAGUAUUAGAGCUUAAGAACACUAUAAUAUUUAAUGUAAAUUACUAUAGUAUUUUUUCCAUGUAAUAGUGAACUGGUGCAUGAUGAGUAAAAUGUCUAUCUGUAAAGCUACUGAUGGUCUAAAAAUAAAGACUUGAAACU
ensembl:lincRNA